GUUGAGCAGGAAGAAAAAGAGGAAUGGAGUCACACAGGAGUCUCAGGUGAAUCAUUUCAGACGUCAUGAUGACAGAUAUAAAGCUUGUGAUGUUGAGAUGAAUGAACCUGUUUAUGAGAAUGUAAGGCUCGAUAUGAAGAGACCAUAGUGUUUGGGAAACCUGGUGAAACAUUUUAUAGCAUUUUUGUAUCUCUUAUGUGUGGAGCGAAAAUGUAUGUGGAGUGGGGCCCUGAAAAGUUCAAAGUUUAUAUA